rnacentral:tRNA from 1 species
UUGAUUAAAGCCAAACUAGAGGCUAGUCACUGUUAAUGACUUAAAUGAGUGUGUUCUAAUCAAA